rfam:Bacillus sp. FJAT-25509 scaffold1, whole genome shotgun sequence.
UAUAUUGCGAUGAUAAGGGCACAGUAGGCAUAACUUCCCUGUUUAAGAGAGCUGACGUAAGCUGCGAGUCAGUACAUAUGGUAUGCUGAAUUACAUUCUUGGAGCAAUUUCUUUUUCAUUUAUUGAAAAUAGAAACGGUCGUUUUGAUCGUUAACAAAAUGAAGGUGGUGAACAGAGUUUUUGUUCACAACUAGGGUGGUACCGCGAUUAAUUAAUUCGUCCCUACU